GGGAGUGACCAUACCAGCACUAAUGCACGGGAUUCCAUCAGAACUCUGAAGUUAUGUGCUUGGACUAGAAUAGUUCUAUGAUGGGUUUGUCUUAUGACUUUCAUAGACAGAGGCUAGUGACAUGACAU
rnacentral:rRNA from 1 species